rnacentral:lncRNA from 1 species
AGAUGUGUUAAGGCGCUCAAAGAGAACUGGGAGGACAUCAAGGUUGUGUUAUGUGUGCGUGCUUGACAGGGUGGUGACAACGACAAUUGAAGGCCCAGGCUUGUCUACAAGUGAGAUGUGUGUGUGUGUGUGUGCAGUAGUUGGUAUGUUAUGUGUGUGCGCCUCCUCUCUGAAUCUUUUACCACUGAAUUUUGUCUGCAUCUUGUAUAUUGCAGGGUAUCAAGUAGAGAUAAACUGCACAUGUCGUCAAUCGGAUGCACAUGUGACAUUCUACCAAGAUCUAAUUCAGUUAGUUCUCUACCAAAUCCAAUCCCGUUUAGAUUUUUCCAAAAGUUUGGUUCAUCUUUGUUCUCUAAAUCAACAUAAUCAAGUGUAAAAUAUCAUUUAGUUUAUUUUCUACCAAUAUAUAAUUCGGUAGGAAUAAAUGUAACCAAGUGUGAUGAAUAAUUUCAUCAAAUAGGUUUUGCAGAUAUGAUUUCUGUGAAUGUACUAACAUGGCGAGAUGUGCUAUUUGUUGUUUUGUCCCAGGCAUUUCUUUUUAGUCCCUGUCUCCUACAACUCAACAAAUAUAUAUAAACGAAUUAUUUUAAUCUAAAUCUAUGAAUAAAGUUACAUUAUCU